rnacentral:rRNA from 1 species
CAGUAGCCGCGGGAAUACGUAGGGUGCAAGCGUUAAUCGGAAUUAUUGGGCGUAAAGCGAGUGCAGACGGUUACUUAAGCCAGAUGUGAAAUCCCCAAGCUUAACUUGGGACGUGCAUUUGAAACUGGGUGACUAGAGUGUGUCAGAGGGAGGUAGAAUUCCACAUGUAGCGGUGGAAUGCGUAGAGAUGUGGAGGAAUACCGAUGGCGAAGGCAGCCUCCUGGGAUAACACUGACGUUGAGGCUCGAAAGCGUGGGGAGCAAACAGGAUUAGAUACCCCCGUAGUCCCUGUCUCUUAUAC